rnacentral:rRNA from 1 species
GAUGAACGCUAGCGGCAGGCCUAAUACAUGCAAGUCGAGGGAGAAUGUUGGAUUCGUCUGACAUGAAACCGGCGCACGGGUGCGUAACACGUAUGCAACCUACCUUUAACUGGGGUAUAGCUCAGAGAAAUCUGAAUUAAUCCCCCAUAAGACUACGACAUGGCAUCAUGAUGUAGUUAAAGCUCCGGAGGUUAAGGAUGGGCAUGCGGUACAUUAGCUAGUUGGUGAGGUAAUGGCUCACCAAGGCUACGAUGUAUAGGGGGUCUGAGAGGAUGAUCCCCCACACUGGUACUGAGACACGGACCAGACUCCUACGGGAGGCAGCAGUAGGGAAUAUUGGUCAAUGGACGCAAGUCUGAACCAGCCAUGCCGCGUGAAGGAUGAAGGCCCUAUGGGUCGUAAACUUCUUUUAUUAGGGAAGAAAAAACGGGAUGCGUCCUGUUCUGACGGUACUUAAUGAAUAAGGAUCGGCUAACUUCGUGCCAGCAGCCGCGGUAA